UACGUAGGCAGCAAGCGUUGUUCGGAGUUACUGGGCGUAAAAGGGGUGUGUAGGCGGUUGUUUAAGUUUGGUGUGAAAUCUCCCGGCUUAACCGGGAGGGUGCGCCGAAUACUGAAUGACUUGGAGUGCGGGAGAGGAAAGUGGAAUUCCUGGUGUAGCGGUGAAAUGCGUAGAUAUCAGGAGGAACACCGGUGGUGUAGACGGCUUUCUGGACCGUAACUGACGCUGGGACACGAAAGCGUGGGUAGCAAACAGG
rnacentral:rRNA from 1 species